rnacentral:rRNA from 1 species
UACAGGGGGUGCAAACGUUGCUCGGAAUUAUUGGGCGUAAAGCGCGCGUAGGCGGCUACUUAAGUCGGAUGUGAAAGCCCCUGGCUCAACUGGGGAAGUGCACCCGAAACUGAGUGGCUUGAGUGCGAAAGAGGGUCGCGGAAUUCCCGGUGUAGAGGUGAAAUUCGUAGAUAUUCGCAAGAACACCCAGUGGCGAAGGCGGCUCACUGGCCCGGUACUGACGCUGAGGUGCGAAAGCGUGGGGAGCAAACAGG